GACGAACGCUGGCGGCGUGCCUAAUACAUGCAAGUUGAGCGCUGAAGGUUGGUACUUGUACCAACUGGAUGAGCAGCGAACGGGUGAGUACCGCGUGGGGAAUCUGCCUUUGAGCGGGGGACAACAUUUGGAAACGAAUGCUAAUACCGCAUAAAAACUUUAAACACAAGUUUUAAGUUUGAAAGAUGCAAUUGCAUCACUCAAAGAUGAUCCCGCGUUGUAUUAGCUAGUUGGUGAGGUAAAGGCUCACCAAGGCGAUGAUACAUAGCCGACCUGAGAGGGUGAUCGGCCACAUUGGGACUGAGACACGGCCCAAACUCCUACGGGAGGCAGCAGUAGGGAAUCUUCGGCAAUAGACGAAAGUCUGACCGAGCAACGCCGCGUGAGUGAAGAAGGUUUUCGGAUCGUAAAACUCUGUUGGUAGAGAAGAACGUUGGUGAGAGUGGAAAGCUCAUCAAGUGACGGUAACUACCCAGAAAGGGACGGCUAACUACGUG
rnacentral:rRNA from 1 species